AAAAAUGGACAAGUGUCCGGCAGUAGAAUUAGGGGUACCUCGGUAUCCACUUAAAAAAAAUGAAAUGAAAAUGAUAGCCCAUGGUCCCUCUAAUAAGCAAUAUGCCAGCAAGAGUUGACAAAGAUUUUAAUUUCCAAAGUCUUUGAUCUAAGAGUAUGACAUUCCCCUCCUCGGAUCCCGUUUUGAUCAGGCAAUAAAUGCAAAGUAAGAAUGCUUGAGAAUUUUUGCAAAAAUAAAACAACCUCAGUGAGAUAUAUAUAUAAAAGAUAAUGAGUGAUCUGAGAGAACCUAUGAGGAUAAAAAGGUAUGCUAACUUUCUUUCAAAAAUAUAACAAAAACUCCAAGUGACAGGAUUGAGAAGAAAGGAUCUUUACUCUUAACCAUAAACAUCCCUGACUAUGGUACAC
rnacentral:lncRNA from 1 species